UAAAAUCCUCUAGGAAAGUCUCAGUGUCUC
rnacentral:piRNA from 1 species